rnacentral:tRNA from 1 species
CAGAUCGCCGCUCCAGGCGGCCGGGCCGGCGCCCGGCGCAGCGACACCGGCCGCAGCGGCGCCGGCCAGCGCGAGGC